AAAGAGCUAUCUGCCAAAGUUGUCAAAUACACAAGAAGGAACCAAAAACGAGGAGAAGAUAAAGAAGUGAAGAGGUGGUAUUGGCCACUAGUGAAGUGUGUGACUGUCAGGGUUCCUAGGAAUGAUCUUCUCCAGCAUGUCACACUUGUCGACCUUCCUGGAAAUGGGGACUGUAACAGGAGCAGAGAUAGAAUGUGGGAAAAGCUUGUUGGAAGUUGCUCUACUGUGUGGAUUGUGACUGACAUUAAUCGAGCAGCCUCAAAG